UACGGGGGGAGCAAGCGUUGUUCGGAUUUACUGGGCGUAAAGGGCGGGUAGGCGGCCACCGCAAGUCAGUUGUGAAAUCUCUGGGCUUAACCCAGAAAGGUCAACUGAUACUGCGGGGCUAGAGUGCAGAAGGGGCAACUGGAAUUCUCGGUGUAGCGGUGGAAUGCGCAGAUAUCAGGAGGAACACCGGUGGCGAAGGCGGGAUCCUGGGCCAGUACUGACGCUGAGGAGCGAAAGCGU
rnacentral:rRNA from 1 species